AUGAGUUAGGGUCUUCUAGGCCCGACCUCCCAACCCUGUGUCUAUCGAAACUUAUGUUGCUUCGGCGUGCUGGUCGUCGGGGGUCGCUAUCGACACGUCGAGACACGCCCCCCCUCGGCCAUGCCCGUCGACAGCCAAUUUGAAAAAUCUUGAAUGAAUCGUGCCUUCUAAGUCUUGACUAAAUAACAA
rnacentral:misc_RNA from 1 species